rnacentral:rRNA from 1 species
AACGAACGCUGGCGGCAUGCCUAACACAUGCAAGUCGAACGAAGCCUUCGGGCUUAGUGGCGCACGGGUGCGUAACGCGUGGGAAUCUGCCCCUUGCUUCGGAAUAACAGUUAGAAAUGACUGCUAAUACCGGAUGAUGUCUUCGGACCAAAGAUUUAUCGGCAAGGGAUGAGCCCGCGUAGGAUUAGGUAGUUGGUGGGGUAAAGGCCUACCAAGCCGACGAUCCUUAGCUGGUCUGAGAGGAUGAUCAGCCACACUGGGACUGAGACACGGACCAGACGCCUACGGGACGCAGCAGUGGAGAAGAUUGGACAAAGGGGGGAACCCUGAUCCAGCAAUGCCGCGUGAGUGAUGAAGGCCUUAGGGUUGUAAAGCUCUUUUACCAGGGAUGAUAAUGACAGUACCUGGAGAAUAAGCUCCGGCUAACUCCGUGCCAGCAGCCGCGGUAAGAC